rnacentral:lncRNA from 1 species
AUUUCCGAGUCCGAGGACGUGAACAGCUCCGAGUAGAACGUCACGUGCUGUCAUCUCGAAAUUACGGUAAUUACGAUAUGGCGUGAACGCAGCAUACCACUAAACUUUAUAUGUCAUACAAUAGCACGUCUUUUACAAGAUGUUGAGGGAUUCUGUUCGUGUACACUGCUAAUAUAUUGCAGAGAUACAUUUGGUUAUUAAUUUCUUUUGCAAAUUAGUUCAAAUAAAGUUCGGUCAUUCAAACUUUAAUGACGUCAGCGUCAGCGACGCUUGAGUCUUUCCGCGGGAAGUUACUUUCGCUUUGCCUGUAUCACAACAGCGGAUAAAGCUUCUGACAGUAGUGUUCUGCCUAUAAAGCGUUAGUCUGUGUUUAUAUGGUUUAGUUUAUUGUCCAGACAUCUAAAUAGGUGUUUAGCUAGCGGUUUAUAUUCAGCCUGUGCUUUGGCAUACUUACUUUUCAUCAUGAACUGUUUGCUGAUGAGAGAAAGUCCUAUGAUUAUUCCGCUUAAUAAGGAGAAGACAGUCUAUGACGGGUUCAUCACAGUACUGACUUAAGGAUAAGAAUAUCUCUACCGGCUGAUCGUCAGAUGAAACAGGCAAAAUUUCAUUGUUGUUGGCAAAUGAAACGGCUACUUCAUGGUUAUCAACAUAUUGUGAAGCAGGUACAAUAAAUCAAAGGCAAAUAGUUUGCAGCUAUUUUUCAUCAUUCUAGAAAUACGUCU